rnacentral:lncRNA from 1 species
CUGGGAUGGAACCCUGGGAUGGAAUUCUGGGAUGGAAUCACAGAGACAGACUGAGACCAUGGAGCCCAAGGAAGACAAGGAAGCUCUUUAGGCACUCUUUAGGGGGUUAACUUUGGCCUCUCUUCUUCCAGUGCUACACAAACCCUUGGCAGCGUUGCUUGAUGGAGACAGAAGCCACAGGAUGCUUUUUGGAGCAGCUGAAAGAGAAUUGUGUUUGUAAUCAGAGCUGCCUUGUGAAUUGAGGUAGAAGCCUGGGUUUUGCUUUGCCUUGGGGAGUUUGUUCUUCUUCAGGGGACUUGGAAAGGUCUUGAGGAGAUUUAGGGACCUGCAUCCAAGUGGGAAGGGCAUGGAACUGGAAGGUUUUUAUUCAGGGAAAGGAAUUAACCUCGGGGUGACCUCUUAUGAUGUCAUCUAUGAUGUGCUGUCACUCUGGAAUUUAAACUGUCCUGGGCAAUGCGCUGGAUAUUUGAAAUGCAGAGGAAGAAGGAAGACAGUUACUAAUUUAAAGACCCCAAAUAUUCUUGGCUGUCUGAAGACAGAGCAAUCCAUCAGCCAUAACCAGCAGGUUCUGAGGUUGACUCUGGGAACCACCAGAAAUGCAGCUGUACUGGCAUUUCCUUGGAAUCCAGGCAGGUGGAUAAGUGGCUGCUCUUUGGAAACACCUUUUCUUCUUGUGUCACUUUGCUGA